rnacentral:rRNA from 1 species
CUACGUGCCAGCAGCCGCGGUAAUACGGAAGGUCCAGGCGUUAUCCGGAUUUAUUGGGUUUAAAGGGAGUGUAGGCGGUCUGUUAAGCGUGUUGUGAAAUUUAGGUGCUCAACAUCUACCUUGCAGCGCGAACUGGCGGACUUGAGUGCACGCAACGUAUGCGGAAUUCAUGGUGUAGCGGUGAAAUGCUUAGAUAUCAUGACGAACUCCGAUUGCGAAGGCAGCUUGCCAUACUGCGACUGACACUGAAGCACGAAGGCGUGGGUAUCAAACAGGAUUAGAUACCCUGGUAGUCCACGCAGUAAACGAUGAUUACUAGGAGUUUGCGAUAUACCGUCAAGCUUCCACAGCGAAAGCGUUAAGUAAUCCACCUGGGGAGUACGCCGGCAACGGUGAAACUCAAAGGAAUUGACGGGGGCCCGCACAAGCGGAGGAACAUGUGGUUUAAUUCGAUGAUACGCGAGGAACCUUACCCGGGAUUGAA